UUCGCAAUGCCCGAAAGGGUGACGAAGCGACGCCGCGUGUGGGAAGAAGGCCUUCGGGUUGUAAACCACUGUCAGGAGUUAGGAAGUGCAAGGGCGUUAAUAGCGUUCUUGCUUGACUAAGGCUCCAGAGGAAGCCACGGCUAACUCUGUGCCAGCAGCCGCGGUAAUACAGAGGCGGCAAGCGUUGUUCGGAAUUAUUGGGCGUAAAGAGCACGUAGGUGGUUUUGUAAGUCAGGUGUGAAAGCCUUCUGCUCAAAGGAAGAACGGCAUCUGAAACUGCAGACCUUGAGUGUAGGAGGGGAGAGUGGAACUUCUGGUGGAGCGGUGAAAUGCGUAGAUAUCAGAAGGAACGUCGGCGGCGAAAGCGACUCUCUGGCCUAUUACUGACACUGAGGUGCGAAAGUUAGGGGAGCAAACGGGAUUAGAUACCCCGGUAGUCCUAACCGUAAACGAUGGGCACUAAGUAGAGGGGUUUU
rnacentral:rRNA from 1 species